rnacentral:misc_RNA from 1 species
GUGGGAGGGGGCUUGCCCCCGAUGGCUGUGGAUCAGUCAGUAAAUGCAGUGACUGACACACUGCUAUCGGGGGCAAGCCCCCUCCCAC